rnacentral:rRNA from 1 species
AGAGUUUGAUCCUGGCUCAGAGCGAACGCUGGCGGCAGGCUUAACACAUGCAAGUCGAGCGGGCGUAGCAAUACGUCAGCGGCAGACGGGUGAGUAACGCGUGGGAACGUACCUUUUGGUUCGGAACAACACAGGGAAACUUGUGCUAAUACCAGAUAAGCCCUUACGGGGAAAGAUUUAUCGCCGAAAGAUCGGCCCGCGUCUGAUUAGCUAGUUGGUGAGGUAACGGCUCACCAAGGCGACGAUCAGUAGCUGGUCUGAGAGGAUGAUCAGCCACAUUGGGACUGAGACACGGCCCAAACUCCUACGGGAGGCAGCAGUGGGGAAUAUUGGACAAUGGGCGCAAGCCUGAUCCAGCCAUGCCGCGUGAGUGAUGAAGGCCCUAGGGUUGUAAAGCUCUUUUGUGCGG